AUUCAUCUCGACAUCAUAUAUAAAUUGAUGCGACCAAUGAAACUACAUUCCACUUCAAAGUUAGCAGUCUAACUCUUAUCACUUCCACAGUAAACUUGUUCACGCGUUCCGUACAAUUAUGGCAUUCAGUACCAAAACUUGGUUAAUCAUUGCAAUGAUUAUUGCGAUUGUUUUAACAAUUGCUGUUCAACAAAUCGAAGGAGCAUGCUUUGUCGACGAACAGGGAGUAUCACAUUGUGAUAACACGCAAACAUGUACCGAACAUACAGAAGAAGAUGGCACCAUAACUAGAACGUGUGUUGGAUAAAGUAUUACAUUUUCACGAUCAUCGUCUGAAUUUGAUAUAUUUAGUUAUUCAAAAUGUAUGUUGGGCAAAUUAAUAAAGAAUGACAAUCUGA